AAUGAAUGAAACAUCAUUUCUCAAAAAGGCAAAUUACAUGUAUCUAAAAUCAAAUCGGGAAAUGAGUGUCCAGUUAGUCUUCAGCAGAGCUCAGAAAUUACACAACGCAUACACCAUGGCCGGCAUCCUCAAGAAUUUCGCUGCUAGCGCCUUACGCAGCACUGUCACAGCAAGGGCCUUCCAGCGCCACCUGUCCACCACCACACGAUCUCUUGCAGCUGCUGUCACUCAGCCAGCUCCGGGUUUUAAGGGCCAGGCUGUUGUCAAUGGACAGUUUAAGGAAAUCUCUCUUGAGGACUACAAAGGCAAAUAUGUUGUGCUCUUCUUCUAUCCUCUAGACUUCACAUUUGUUUGCCCUACUGAACUGAUUGCCUUCAGUGAAAAAACUGAAGCCUUCAAGGAACUUAAUUGUGAGGUUAUUGGUGUAUCAACCGAUUCUCAUUUCUCACACUUGGCAUGGAAUAACAUGCCCCGAAAGCAAGGAGGUUUGGGUGGCUUGAAAUACCCCCUGCUUGCUGAUUUCAACAAGACCAUCUCAAGAGACUAUGGCGUUCUUCUUGAGGAUGCAGGCAUUGCUCUCCGUGGCCUCUUCUUGAUUGAUCCUGAAUCCAGGGUGUCUUGAAGCACAUGAGUGUAAAUGACUUGCCAGUUGGAAGAUCCGUAGAAGAAACCCUGAGAUUGUUAAAGGCCUUCCAGUUUGUGGCUGAGCAUGGUGAAGUAUGUCCAGCCAAUUGGCAGCCAGAGAGCCCAACCAUCAAGCCUGACCCAGAAGCCUCUCUUGAAUAUUUUGAAAAGGUCAACUAAAAAUAGCAAUGAAAAUAAAACCUUCAAGUAGGGGCUAGCAUCGAGAAUGUCAUCGAAAGAAUAAGGCAGCUGUAUAUGUCAUAUGAUGUGUGUCUGGGCAUUUGCAUUGUAUUUGUUUCUCAAACGAUGGUUUCCCCUUGUAUAGAAAAGAGAUUAAAUGCUUGAGAGUCAUCAGAGUAUUUUCAUUUGUAAAGUGUUGAAAAAUAAAACAAUAAUAAAUCUA